UGGGGAAUUUUGGACAAUGGGGGAAACCCUGAUCCAGCCAUCCCGCGUGUGCGAUGAAGGCCUUCGGGUUGUAAAGCACUUUUGGCAGGAAAGAAACGUCGCGGGUUAAUACCCCGCGAAACUGACGGUACCUGCAGAAUAAGCACCGGCUAACUACGUGCCAGCAGCCGCGGUAAUACGUAGGGUGCAAGCGUUAAUCGGAAUUACUGGGCGUAAAGCGUGCGCAGGCGGUUCGGAAAGAAAGAUGUGAAAUCCCAGAGCUUAACUUUGGAACUGCAUUUUUAACUACCGGGCUAGAGUGUGUCAGAGGGAGGUGGAAUUCCGCGUGUAGCAGUGAAAUGCGUAGAUAUGCGGAGGAACACCGAUGGCGAAGGCAGCCUCCUGGGAUAACACUGACGCUCAUGCACGAAAGCGUGGGGGAGCAAACAGGAUUAGAUACCCUGGUAGUCCACGCCCUAAACGAUGUCAACUAGCUGUUGGGGGCCUUCGGGCCUUGGUAGCGCAGCUAACGCGUGAAGUUGACCGCCUGGGGAGUACGGUCGCAAGAUUAAAACUCAAAUGAAUUGAC
rnacentral:rRNA from 1 species